GAGGGUAGAACUCAGAGGUAGAGUGUAUACUUAGCAUGCAUGAGGUCCUGGGUUCAAGCUUCGGUACCUUCA
rnacentral:tRNA from 1 species